CCAACCGGGAUGAACUAGCAUGCGAGUCAUUGUAGCAAUACAAGGCAGACGGCUCAGUAACGCGUAGUCAAUCUACCCUAUGGACGGGGAUAACCUCGGGAAACUGAGAAUAAUACCCGAUAGAACAUUAUGCCUGGAACGGUUUAUGUUUCAAAUGAUUUAUCGCCAUAGGAUGGGACUGCGGCCUAUCAGUUUGUUGGUGAGGUAAUGGCCCACCAAGACUAUUACAGGUACGGGCUCUGAGAGGAGUAGCCCGGAGAUGGGUACUGAGACACGGACCCAGGCCCUAUGGGGCGCAGCAGGCGAGAAAACUUUGCAAUGUGCGAAAGCACGACAAGGUUAAUCCGAGUGGUUUCUGCUAAAGAAACCUUUUGCUAGUCCUAGAAACACUAGUGAAUAAGGGGUGGGCAAGUUCUGGUGUCAGCCGCCGCGGUAAAACCAGCACCUCAAGUGGUCAGGAUGAUUAUUGGGCCUAAAGCAUCCGUAGCUCGUUUUGUAAGUUUUCGGUUAAAUCCAUACGCUCAACGUAUGGGCUGCCGGGAAUACUGCAUAACUAGGAAGUGGGAGAGGUAGACGGUACUCGAUAGGAAGGGGUAAAAUCCUUUGAUCUAUUGAUGACCACCUGUGGCGAAGGCGGUCUACCAGAACACGUCCGACGGUGAGGGAUGAAAGCUGGGGGAGCAAACCGGAUUAGAUACCCGGGUAGUCCCAGCUGUAAACUAUGCAAACUCAGUGAUGCAUUGGCUUGUGGCCAAUGCAGUGCUGCAGGGAAGCCGUUAAGUUUGCCGCCUGGGAAGUACGUACGCAAGUAUGAAACUUAAAGGAAUUGGCGGGGGAGCACCACAAGGGGUGAAGCCUGCGGUUCAAUUGGAGUCUACGCCGGA
rnacentral:rRNA from 1 species